rnacentral:rRNA from 1 species
UGGGGAAUAUUGGACAAUGGGGGCAACCCUGAUCCAGCCAUGCCGCGUGAGUGAUGAAGGCCUUCGGGUUGUAAAGCUCUUUUGGCGGGGACGAUGAUGACGGUACCCGCAGAAUAAGCCCCGGCUAACUUCGUGCCAGCAGCCGCGGUAAGACGAAGGGGGCUAGCGUUGUUCGGAAUUACUGGGCGUAAAGCGAGUGUAGGCGGUUGCCGUAGUCAGGUGUGAAAGCCUUGAGCUCAACUCAAGAAAUGCACUUGAUACUGGGUGACUAGAGGACCGGAGAGGAUAGUGGAAUUCCCAGUGUAGUGGUGAAAUACGUAGAGAUUGGGAAGAACACCAGUGGCGAAGGCGGCUAUCUGGACGGUUACUGACGCUAAGACUCGAAAGCGUGGGGAGCAAACAGGAUUAGAUACCCUGGUAGUCCACGCCGUAAACGAUGGGUGCUAGACGUUGGCGAGCUUGCUCGUCAGUGUCGCAGCUAACGCGUUAAGCACCCCGCCUGGGGAGUACGGCCGCAAGGUUGAAACUCAAAAUGAAUUGACGGGGUCAUAGCUG